AAAGUAAAGCAGAGAAAAUGGGAAGGGUAGUUGUGCAAACUAUACGGGCUACAUUUAGAACGUCGGGAACGAGGAGGUCCACGCACGUCGCUUUGGCUGGGAGACAAGGGAAUCCGUCGCCGCUUUGGCUCUCUGGAUCCAAGCAAGCUAUGGGGCCAAGAAUUGCUGCCAGCAAAAGGACGGCAAAUUAGACAGGUGCGAGUCGCCGCACGUCAGAAUCGCCGCACGCCAAUUCAAAGUGGAAAUAAGGAUCCGUCGAAUCGUCACCUUUCAGCACAUCGUUCUAUGCUGCACCCAGCUCUCUGAAGCAAGCUCGAUCUAACGAACCAGCACUGCAACAUCUUGCCUGGUUUGCUAAAUGUCCAUUUGUAAAAAAAGAAAAUAGAGAGUUUGAAGAAAGCAAAAAUGGAGGAAAGAAAAUAUGAAACCGUGAUCCUCUAUUCUCCCA
rnacentral:lncRNA from 1 species